GCCCGCGUUGGACCCGCGCCGCCGUGAGGCCGCUCUGGAGCCGGGCCGGGCGGUGUUGUGCUGAGGUGUCGCCUCGGUCCUGAGCGGGUGUCUGUGUGGCAGCCCCGCAGUGCGGCAGCCAAGCAUCCCGGGCUGGAUAAACAGCACCCUCGCCUUCUCUCUGCACCUAGAACUUGAAAGCGGCUUCUAAUUGAGCUCUCCAAGCCUGGCUUGGACUCACAGUGUUGCCUUGAUGUGGGAGUGGACUGAGGCACGAGCAGCAGAUGACCUCGAUUCUUUCUACACAGCGCGUUGGGCUUGCACUCUGUGUCAUUAAGGCGUUCCUAUGAGACACAGGUACCUUAAGGCUUGUGCACAUACCAUGGUCUGUGCUUGGAGAACAAUAUCCAACUGCUCCUGCGAGGGGGUUGCCUGAGGAGGAGGGCAGGAGAAGACUAGGACUGCGAAGGUUCUUGCUGGAGAUCAAAUAGCCGGCUUAGUACAAAGGUUAUGGUGAUUGAUACUGCUGGCAUGUAAAUAACAUGUUCCCCCAGAGAUGCUGGAAGGAGCCCAGGAGCACUUGGAGCAGCCCCAGAGCAUCAGGAGUGACCCAAGAGGACCCUGGUCAGACACACAUAUGGCUCAUCCCCCACAUUCGAAGCCAGAAUGCAGGAGGUUUAUGCAGUUCACUUUGAGAUAGCUGAGUAAUGCAAAGGCUUUAGGGUCCAGAUUUAUCCCACCUAAUUAUAGACAUUGAUUUCAAAAGCUAACGCGGGGCUGUGCUCACACCAGAGUCAGUGGAAAGGCUCUGCCCGCCCCAGCCCUGCGUAGCACUCUAACAACACCUUUCUGCUCUCUGUAAAUGUGUUUAAGGUGACCAAAUCCAAAAUCUCAGUAUCUCUGAGGUAUCAAAGGCAGCCAGGAUGAAUCUGGAUCAGACGUGCUGAAGAUUUCACACAGGGCUGUAAUAAUCGGUAAAGACAGCUUUUCCUUCAGGAUGCAAUGCCAUCACUUCAGGGUAACAUAAAAGAGGAAUUCUGUCUUAUUUCUUAUGAAAAAGAGAAUGUGGAACGUCUUGUUUGUGUUUUGCUGUCUAGGAAAGUACACUCAGCAAAAAUUCUCAUCGAGGCAUACUCAGAACAGCGUUAGCAAGCUCCUGUGCUCCUCGAAAACCACCCCUAAAAUGGAGCAGGGAGAGCCACUGCAGGGCUGGCUGGAGGUUUGCUGGUACAAAUGCUGCUGUCGUUAAUGCAGGCACAGUUGUGGUUUGUUGGUUUUUUCAGCCAGGACCAGCAAGCACAGGACUGUGCAUCAGUGACAAGGAUCUUUUUCCUUAAUUUAUCAGAAACCAGGAGCCUUUAUAGCCGGUGCUUCCCACAGCUUGUGCUUCAGCCUGCACUGCUUUUAAUGUUUGGGCAGCUGCUCUGUUAUGCGUAGUGAGAAAUAGUUGCCACCCCCAGCGUUCCCAGUGGCAGCAAAAGAGUGGAAAUACUCUGCUUGGUUAAGGUUUCCAAUAUCUAUCUCCAAGAGGGCGGCAGGACUGCAGCCAGCAGAGCAGGGGAGGUACCCUGUGGGGCAGCUCAAACUUUGCUCCUGUGGUCCAGCCUCCAGAGGUUUCCCUGGGAGAUGCAGCACCUGCAGAUCGAUGGGUUAGGAGGCAUUUCACAUUAUUUGUGCAACAUUUCUUUUUGCUAAUUCCAUGCCAGUCGGCGAGUACGUGUGUUCUUGGCUACAUGCAGAUCCACAGGAAAUGACUAUUCUGUUUUAAAUAUUUUUGCAUCUUUUAAAUGGAAGUGAAAUGCCAGUUCUGAGCUCUCUGUGAGGAGGAACACAGCCAAGCUGCCAGGAAUCUCCAUGGAGAGCUGCUGGAGCUGUGACCAUCUUACCCUGUGACUUCUAAUGCUGUGGCAGCCCAGCAACCGGAUUAGUGCAUAGCAGUAGGUAAAAUCGGAAGCCCUGAGUUUGAGAUGGACACUGCAGAGUGAGUGUGAGUGGAAGCCUGCCUCCAGAAUGGAAGAGCUUUUGGAGUUGGGGUUGUUCCAGGUUUAUGACAACGCUGAAGUAUGACGUGGAGGCCUUCCCUUAACCACUGAGCUGGAUAUCUCCACAUCUCAAGGAGAGGAGGAGUUACAAUCACUGCACUACUAAUGGAAAGCUGGAGCUCAGCCACGUGGCUUGCCUGAAUCCCUCCUACCUUCUUUAGAUGGUUUGAGCAAAGAACACAUCAAAGAUGUAGACAUGUCUUUCAUCAACUAAAUACCAGCAGCCAGAUUAUCUGAAGUCAUUUUCUGCCUGCUUGCCACUGGGAAGAAAGUGCCCUCAGGGGGUCUCAUUGUGUACCCCGAAAGUACACAGCAAAACAGCUCCGGAGUAAACAGAGGCAGACCCAGCACCCCCCAUCCUCCUCACUGGGGCACUCUGUAUUCACAAUAAACCCCCUGCUGUGAUCUCUUGCCAAGAAUAACACAGACAGUCUAUUAAAACAUCUUUAAUAACAUGAUAUAAUUAAAAAUAUCUAACUUGCAACUCCAAGAAAUGAAUGUGAAGCUCAUUUAAAUCUGUUUCCACACCCCUCCAAACUUGACUGACAGGUUCCAAACCUUCAUUAAUGGCCUGAAAAUUUAUGAAUACCCCAAUAUUAUGGGGGUGUCCAUGUAUAUGAGUUGGGAGCACAAGUAAUUAUUAAUUAGAUUUGAAAGGAUUUGGGUUCCAUGGUAGCUUUAAAAAUCCUGCAAGGCACAUCAUUAUUAUCUGUGAGCAUUUAAAUUUCUCUUUCAAGUGGUCUGAAAUGAGCUGGAGACACUUGUCCCUUGGGCUUUUAACAGCCUGUGUGUUGCUUUGAAGCAGAGAAGUGAACUGUAAGUGCUCUAGUCCAAGGACAGUGUUUGUCUGAAUCGAUCCCUUUCUUCACAAUAACACAGAGUUUGUAUAACACCUCAGCUCUUAGGCAAGCAGAGCAUCUUGGAAUGACUGCCAAGGCCCCGAGGAAUCUGGAGUGUUGGAUUAUAAAGUAACUCUGGUCACAGACUAAUAUGAAAGUCAAUUAGGAAAGCUUCUCUUCUUGGGUGUACUCUUGUCUGAGGGACAGUGUUAGAUGAGCUACUUCCCUUUCAGAGUUAAGCAGUUCAGUGCAAAUGAACAAAGCAGUGACCUCAGCCCAGCCUGCACCUUGUUUUAGCAGAUGUGAAAUUAAAUGUGUUAAUUCAAGUCAUAGAAUGGUUUGGGUUGGAAGGGGCCUUAAAGGUCAUCUAGUUCCAAGUCCUGGUUAAAGAGUUUAAACUGACAAUGUUAACCCUGAGUUGCCACGACUCAGCCGAGACACUGGAACUCAGCUGCAUGUCCAUGCUCUUUGCUUCUCCUUUGAUGCUCUGCACGUUUUGUAGAGGCCAAGUCUAAAAUGCUUUGCUUUUGGAGAGUUCUUGAAGGGACA